UUGAACGCUGGCGGAAUGCUUUACACAUGCAAGUCGAGCGGCAGCGCGGGGGCAACCCUGGCGGCGAGCGGCGGACGGGUGAGUAAUGCAUCGGAACGUACCUAGUCGUGGGGGAUAACUAUCCGAAAGGAUAGCUAAUACCGCAUACGUCCUGAGGGAGAAAGCAGGGGAUCGCAAGACCUUGCGCGAUUAGAGCGGCCGAUGUCGGAUUAGCUAGUUGGUGGGGUAAAGGCCUACCAAGGCAACGAUCCGUAGCUGGUCUGAGAGGAUGAUCAGCCACACUGGGACUGAGACACGGCCCAGACUCCUACGGGAGGCAGCAGUGGGGAAUUUUGGACAAUGGGCGCAAGCCUGAUCCAGCCAUUCCGCGUGAGUGAAGAAGGCCUUCGGGUUGUAAAGCUCUUUCGGCAGGGAAGAAACGGCAGGCUCUAACAUAGCCUGCUAAUGACGGUACCUGAAGAAGAAGCACCGGCUAACUACGU
rnacentral:rRNA from 1 species